UAGGAAGUAAUAUAAGGGAAGUAUGGAGGGUUUUGAUCUCUUCUGUGCAGGUUCAAUUCCUGUCUUCCUAA
rnacentral:tRNA from 8 species